rnacentral:rRNA from 1 species
CCUACGGGAGGCAGCAGUAGGGAAUCUUCCACAAUGGACGAAAGUCUGAUGGAGCAACGCAGCGUGAGUGAAGAAGGGUUUCGGCUCGUAAAGCUCUGUUUUUAGAGAAGUAAGAUAGCGGUAGUAACUGGCCUUUAUUUGACGGUAAUUACUUAGAAAGUCACGGCUAACUACGUGCCAGCAGCCGCGGUAAUACGUAGGUGGCUUGCGCUGUCCGGAUUUAUUUGGUGUAAAGCGAGUGCAGGCGGUUCAAUAAGUCUGAUGUGAAAGGCUUCGGCUCAACCGGAGAAUUGCAUCAGAAACUGGUGGACUUGAGUGCAGUAGAGGAGGGUGGAAUU